rnacentral:rRNA from 1 species
AUCAGAAGUGCGAAUGCUGACAUAAGUAACGAUAAAGCGGGUGAAAAGCCCGCUCGCCGGAAGACCAAGGGUUCCUGUCCAACGUUAAUCGGGGCAGGGUGAGUCGACCCCUAAGGCGAGGCCGAAAGGCGUAGUCGAUGGGAAACAGGUUAAUAUUCCUGUACUUGGUGUUACUGCGAAGGGGGGACGGAGAAGGCUAUGUUGGCCGGGCGACGGUUGUCCCGGUUUAAGCGUGUAGGCUGGUUUUCCAGGCAAAUCCGGAAAAUCAAGGCUGAGGCGUGAUGACGAGGCACUACGGUGCUGAAGCGACAAAUGCCCUGCUUCCAGGAAAAGCCUCUAAGCAUCAGGUAACAUCAAAUCGUACCCCAAACCGACACAGGUGGUCAGGUAGAGAAUACCAAGGCGCUUGAGAGAACUCGGGUGAAGGAACUAGGCAAAAUGGUGCCGUAACUUCGGGAGAAGGCACGCUGAUAUGUAGGUGAAGCGACUUGCUCGUGGAGCUGAAAUCAGUCGAAGAUACCAGCUGGCUGCAACUGUUUAUUAAAAACACAGCACUGUGCAAACACGAAAGUGGACGUAUACGGUGUGACGCCUGCCCGGUGCCGGAAGGUUAAUUGAUGGGGUUAGCGGUAACGCGAAGCUCUUGAUCGAAGCCCCGGUAAACGGCGGCCGUAACUAUAACGGUCCUAAGGUAGCGAAAUUCCUUGUCGGGUAAGUUCCGACCUGCACGAAUGGCGUAAUGAUGGCCAGGCUGUCUCCACCCGAGACUCAGUGAAAUUGAACUCGCUGUGAAGAUGCAGUGUACCCGCGGCAAGACGGAAAGACCCCGUGAACCUUUACUAUAGCUUGACACUGAACAUUGAGCCUUGAUGUGUAGGAUAGGUGGGAGGCUUUGAAGUGUGGACGCCAGUCUGCAUGGAGCCGACCUUGAAAUACCACCCUUUAAUGUUUGAUGUUCUAACGUGGGCCCCUUACCGGGGUUGCGGACAGUGUCUGGUGGGUAGUUUGACUGGGGCGGUCUCCUCCUAAAGAGUAACGGAGGAGCACGAAGGUUGGCUAAUCCUGGUCGGACAUCAGGAGGUUAGUGCAAUGGCAUAAGCCAGCUUGACUGCGAGCGUGACGGCGCGAGCAGGUGCGAAAGCAGGUCAUAGUGAUCCGGUGGUUCUGAAUGGAAGGGCCAUCGCUCAACGGAUAAAAGGUACUCCGGGGAUAACAGGCUGAUACCGCCCAAGAGUUCAUAUCGACGGCGGUGUUUGGCACCUCGAUGUCGGCUCAUCACAUCCUGGGGCUGAAGUAGGUCCCAAGGGUAUGGCUGUUCGCCAUUUAAAGUGGUACGCGAGCUGGGUUUAGAACGUCGUGAGACAGUUCGGUCCCUAUCUGCCGUGGGCGCUGGAGAACUGAGGGGGGCUGCUCCUAGUACGAGAGGACCGGAGUGGACGCAUCACUGGUGUUCGGGUUGUCAUGCCAAUGGCACUGCCCGGUAGCUAAAUGCGGAAGAGAUAAGUGCUGAAAGCAUCUAAGCACGAAACUUGCCCCGAGAUGAGUUCUCCCUGACUCCUUGAGAGUCCUGAAGGAACGUUGAAGACGACGACGUUGAUAGGCCGGGUGUGUAAGCGCAGCGAUGCGUUGAGCUAACCGGUACUAAUGAACCGUGAGGCUUAACCUU